CCAUAGCCCAGAUAGCAGCGGAAAUCCUUAUGCGCCGGGUUUCGGCAAAUAAGAUUGUAACGAAUAGCUGGAACUAGC
rnacentral:sRNA from 1 species